rnacentral:rRNA from 1 species
AUUGAACGCUGGCGGCAGGCCUAACACAUGCAAGUCGAGCGGAUGAAGGGAGCUUGCUCCUGGAUUCAGCGGCGGACGGGUGAGUAAUGCCUAGGAAUCUGCCUGGCAGUGGGGGAUAACGUCCGGACACGGGCGCUAAUACCGCAUCCGUCCUGAGGGAGAAAGUGGGGGAUCUUCGGACCUCACGCUAUCAGAUGAGCCUAGGUCGGAUUAGCUAGUUGGUGGGGUAAAGGCCUACCAAGGCGACGAUCCGUAACUGGUCUGAGAGGAUGAUCAGUCACACUGGAACUGAGACACGGUCCAGACUCCUACGGGAGGCAGCAGUGGGGAAUAUUGGACAAUGGGCGAAAGCCUGAUCCAGCCAUGCCGCGUGAGUGAAGAAGGUCUUCGGAUUGUAAAGCACUUUAAGUUGGGAGGAAGGACAGUAAGUUAAUACCUGGCUGUUUUGACGUUACCAACAGAAUAAGCACCGGCUAACUUCGUG